UGAUUUGAUUAUCAAAGAUUUAUCGCUGAAAGAUGAGCUCGCGUCUGAUUAGCUAGUUGGUAAGGUAACGGCUUACCAAGGCGACGAUCAGUAGCCGGACUGAGAGGUUGAUUGGCCACAUUGGGACUGAGACACGGCCCAGACUCCUACGGGAGGCAGCAGUGGGGAAUAUUGCACAAUGGAGGAAACUCUGAUGCAGCGAUGCCGCGUGAGGGAAGAAGGUUUUAGGAUUGUAAACCUCUGUCUUCAGGGACGAAAAAAGACGGUACCUGAGGAGGAAGCUCCGGCUAACUACGUGCCAGCAGCCGCGGUAAUACGUAGGGAGCGAGCGUUGUCCGGAAUUACUGGGUGUAAAGGGAGCGUAGGCGGGAUCGCAAGUCAGAUGUGAAAACUAUGGGCUUAACCCAUAAACUGCAUUUGAAACUGUGGUUCUUGAGUGAAGUAGAGGUAAGCGGAAUUCCUAGUGUAGCGGUGAAAUGCGUAGAUAUUAGGAGGAACAUCAGUGGCGAAGGCGGCUUACUGGGCUUUAACUGACGCUGAGGCUCGAAAGCGUGGGGAGCAAACAGGAUUAGAUACCCUGGUAGUCCACGCCGUAAACGAUGAUUACUAGGUGUGGGGGGACUGACCCCUUCCGUGCCGCAGCAAACGCAAUAAGUAAUCCACCUGGGGAGUACGACCGCAAGGUUGAGACUCAAAGGAAUUGACGGGGGCCCGCACAAGCAGUGGAGUAUGUGGAUUAAUUCGAAGCAACGCGAAGAACCUUACCAGGUCUUGACAUCGUAUGCAUAGCUCAGAGAUGAGUGAAAUCUCUUCGGAGACAUAUAGACAGGUGGUGCAUGGUUGUCGUCAGCUCGUGUCGUGAGAUGUUGGGUUAAGUCCCGCAACGAGCGCAACCCUUACUGUUAGUUGCUACGCAAGAGCACUCUAGCAGGACUGCCGUUGACAAAACGGAGGAAGGUGGGGAUGACGUCAAAUCAUCAUGCCCCUUAUGACCUGGGCCUCACACGUACUACAAUGGCUGUCAACAGAGGGAAGCAAAGCCGCGAGGUGGAGCGAACCCCUAAAAGCAGUCUUAGUUCGGAUUGUAGGCUGCAACCCGCCUACAUGAAGUCGGAAUUGCUAGUAAUCGCAGAUCAGCAUGCUGCGGUGAAUACGUUCCCGGGCCUUGUACACACCGCCCGUCACGCCAUGGGAGUCGGUAACACCCGAAGCCUGUAGUCUAACCGCAAGGAGGACGCAGUCGAAGGUGGGAUUGAUGACUGGGGUGAAGUCGGAACAAGGUA
rnacentral:rRNA from 1 species